GAAAGAGUUCUAAUCGCCCACUGCCUCGCUAAAAGGAACCUAAUGGAUCGUACACCGUGUAAGGUAAAGAUUGAAGAAACAACGGAGAUGAGUAAGAAUAAUUAAAUGGUUUAAUUAUUUAUGGCAAAGAUUAAUUAAUAUGUUAAUUAAUCAAACGAAUAAGUUCAUUAAAAGACCACGGGUUAGUUUUGGGCCUCAAGGCCCAAUGGGCUUCGAACGUCAAGCCCAUUGACUUAAGUUGUAUGACAACUUAAUGACUAAUAAUUCACAAAGGCCCUAAAAGCCCAAUGAAACCCAAUGGCCGGCCAUUUAGAGAUGGAGUGGGUUUUGGACUUAUUUACAAGUUUGCCACUCCAAUGAAUUAAGGUAUAAAUGUGACUUUAUAGCCAAAAUUCAUUUAGGGUUUCUUUUGGAGAAAAGAUGAGAACACAAAGCUCUCUUUUCUCUCUAAAGAGGCCGGCCACCCUAGAGGAAAUUAACUAGCAAUCUUGCUUCCUCUAGUUCACUCAUUUCUUCAUCAAUCCAUCCUUGGUGUGGAAACUUAGAAGUUCUCAAUUUUGGGAACUUGGAGAAUCUAUUCUUCCAUCCAAAUCCAUGUAUCUAAGAAGCAAGGAAUGAAGGCCCUCUCCUUGGGUGAUUAGCCUUUGCUUAUGCAAAGAGGAAUCUACAAAGGUAUAAAUUUCUCCACUCACUUUGAUUUGAGUUGAGUCUUGGUUCACCAAUCUACUAGGCUUUGAAUUUCAUGGUUGAUGUUUUGUUUUUGAGUGCAUGCAAGCAUUAUUUCGCCUUUUAAUUGUUAAUUGCAUGCUAUAGAUGUUAUUCAAAUGAACAUGUUUUCACAAAAUCUUCCUUCAAGUGGUAUCAGAGCCUAGGUCUAGUAGUUGGUGAAUCCUUUUGGGUUUUGUAGUUCAUAGUCUUUGAUUUAAAUGUUGUAAUAUGUUACAAGCUUUAUUCUUGCUUCUUUGAUUGUAAAUUUUGUUAGAAAAUUUGCCAUCUCAAAUGUUGUAGAUGUAGUUCAUAUGAGCAUGAAUAUUGGAGCUAAAAUUUGGUGCCAUGUUUUUGGGGAUUUUCGGCCAAAUCCAAAGGGUGAUUUUUUGGGUUCUUGUUUGACUUGUUAAAAGUGUUUUAAAGUGACUUUUGGAACCCCUAAGUACCCUAGAAUGUUAGCCCCAUUUUGAAUGGUGAAAAUUUGAGUUUUAUUGCUUGAAAACAUUCAUGGAGCUCUUAUGGGUUUUCAUGGAUGUUCUUCAUUGUUCUUGAUGUUCUUGCCAAGAACAAAAAGGUUUGAUGUUUUGAUCAAAGUUUUGAUUUAUUUCAUAAAGUCUUUGUUUUGUGUUGGUGGGUGUGACUUAUCUAUCAUCAAAACAUUUAUUAUUUUUGAAAGGUGAUAGAAAUGGUGAUGGGUGUGUAAGAAGGACUUCUCUUACACACACACACCACUUGCAUGGCUUUAUUCACAUCAACCUAUUUCCACUUGCAUGGCUUUAUGACUUAGUUGAAAAAUUUCCAAAUUUUUGUGGACUUAUCUCCACUCUUUUUUUCUCCCUAAAACCGGCCACCCUAUUAAAAUAGGGUAUUUUUGGGGCUUUUAUGCAAUUACAUAAAGUUUUGAUACUUUUGUGUAUUUGUAUUUUGACCCGAAAGUUUACGUUUUGACGUUAAGGCCUAAAAACGCUAAAGGACAAAUUGUUUUGCUCCUUUAAUGAAGUUUUGAAUUUAUUGAAAUUUUUGGGUUCUAGUUGUAAUUACAUGAAGUAGUGGACUUUUGUGUUUUUACAAAGUGACCCCAAAAGUUUGUGUUUUUGCAAUAUAGCCCAAAAGUUAUGGUAAUUGCAGUUUGGCCCAAAUUAGGUUGAGAACAAAAUUGUUUUGUCUCU
rnacentral:lncRNA from 1 species